rnacentral:rRNA from 1 species
GGAAUAUUGGACAAUGGGGGCAACCCUGAUCCAGCCAUGCCGCGUGAGUGAUGAAGGCCUUCGGGUUGUAAAGCUCUUUUGGCGGGGACGAUGAUGACGGUACCCGCAGAAUAAGCCCCGGCUAACUUCGUGCCAGCAGCCGCGGUAAGACGAAGGGGGCUAGCGUUGUUCGGAAUUACUGGGCGUAAAGCGCGUGUAGGCGGUUAUUCAAGUCAGGUGUGAAAGCCUUGAGCUCAACUCAAGAAAUGCACUUGAUACUGGAUGACUAGAGGACCGGAGAGGAUAGUGGAAUUCCCAGUGUAGUGGUGAAAUACGUAGAGAUUGGGAAGAACACCAGUGGCGAAGGCGGCUAUCUGGACGGUUACUGACGCUAAGACGCGAAAGCGUGGGGAGCAAACA